GUUUACAGCCAUACCACCCUGAAUGCACCUGAUCUCAGAAGCUAAGCAGAGGCCAGGCACGGUGGCUCACACCUGUAAUCC
rnacentral:rRNA from 1 species